rnacentral:rRNA from 1 species
UACGGGAGGCAGCAGUGGGGAAUAUUGCACAAUGGGCGCAAGCCUGAUGCAGCCAUGCCGCGUGUAUGAAGAAGGCCUUCGGGUUGUAAAGUACUUUCAGUCGUGAGGAAGGUGUUAAGGUUAAUAACCUUAGCAAUUGACGUUAGCGACAGAAGAACGCACCGGCUAACUCCGUGCCAGCAGCCGCGGUAAUACGGAGGGUGCGAGCGUUAAUCGGAAUUACUGGGCGUAAAGGGCACGCAGGCGGUUAAUUAAGUUGGAUGUGAAAUCCCCGGGCUUAACCUGGGAAUGGCAUUCAAGACUGGUUAGCUAGAGUCUUGUAGAGGGGGUAGAAUUCCAUGUGUAGCGGUGAAAUGCGUAGAGAUGUGGAGGAAUACCGGUGGCGAAGGCGGCCCCUGGACAAAGACUGACGCUCAUGUGCGAAAGCGUGGGGAGCAAACGAGGAUUAGAUACC